rnacentral:rRNA from 1 species
UACGGGGGGGGCAAGCGUUGUUCGGAAUUACUGGGCGUAAAGGGCUCGUAGGCGGCCAACUAAGUCAGACGUGAAAUCCCUCGGCUUAACCGGGGAACUGCGUCUGAUACUGGAUGGCUAGAGUUUGGGAGAGGGAUGCGGAAUUCCAGGUGGAGCGGUGAAAUGCGUAGAGAUCGGAAAGAACACCAACGGCGAAAGCACUCUGCUGGGCCGACACUGACACUGAGAGACGAAAGCUAGGGGAGCGAAUGGG